GUACUUUGGUAUGUAAUUGACGUUGAGGCUAGAAUGCGUGGGGAGCAAACAGGAUUAGAUACCCAGGUAGUCCACGCCGUAAACGAUGAGUGAUAAGUGUUAGAGGGUUUCCGCCCUUUAGUGCUGCAGCUAACGCAUUAAGCACUCCGCCUGGGGAGUACGGUCGCAAGACUGAAACUCAAAGGAAUUGACGGGGGCCCGCACAAGCGGUGGAGCAUGUGGUUUAAUUCGAAGCAACGCGAAGAACCUUACCAGGUCUUGACAUCCUCUGACAACUCUAGAGAUAGAGCGUUCCCCUUCGGGGGACAGAGUGACAGGUGGUGCAUGGUUGUCGUCAGCUCGUGUCGUGAGAUGUUGGGUUAAGUCCCGCAACGAGCGCAACCCUUGAUCUUAGUUGCCAGCAUUUAGUUGGGCACUCUAAGGUGACUGCCGGUGACAAACCGGAGGAAGGUGGGGAUGACGUCAAAUCAUCAUGCCCCUUAUGACCUGGGCUACACACGUGCUACAAUGGAUGGUACAAAGGGCUGCAAGACCGCGAGGUCAAGCCAAUCCCAUAAAACCAUUCUCAGUUCGGAUUGUAGGCUGCAACUCGCCUACAUGAAGCUGGAAUCGCUAGUAAUCGCGGAUCAGCAUGCCGCUGGGGCGGGG
rnacentral:rRNA from 1 species